UGCAGUUUCUCUUCCGUCAGAAGGGCUCUUUCAGAAAGGGGCCCGAUUCUGCAGCUAGUGGAAGUCCUUCAGCUUCAGAAGGAGCAGGCUGAAGGCUGACCAGGCGCAGAAAACCUACACUGGGGGAAGGAGAAAGAAGAGACUCGCUUAGAGCAUCCCCAAGCCGAGGCAUCACAAUAACAACAAGGAAGAAAAGUGAUUCCCAACAGACAGUGAUACAAAGUCACAAAGGACUGUGACAGUGACACAGAUAUAUAAUAUCUUAAAGUGAGAUGCUGCAGUUCAAGGAAGAAGAUACAGUAUUAAAUUUCCAGGAGAGGAGCAAAAAGAGAGAGAGAGUGAGUCCCAUGAUGAACAUCCUGAAAGGUGUUUAUUUUUGGACACCAAAUCCCAACACUGAUGCUCCUGUCCCUGAUGAGAACACCGUGUGAAAAGGCACAAUGCAGCUUUCAGACUGUGUUGGUACCAUCUAGUGUGUGAGACGAAGGUAGAUUUUGAUGCCUGAUUGACCUGAACUCCUUCCAAGUAGUUUGCUAAAUUCCCACUGGUUAGAAACUGCAAAGCAAGAAGUGCAGUAGAUGGAAACCAGAGGCUACGAUAAUUGUACCAAAGCCUGCUGAGAUUUUCUUAACCACUUCCAGUAAAAGGAAAACGUCCCCUAGUAACAGAAGCAAGUCCCACAAGAAGGACCGAAACACUAUGUUCACUCAUAUAUGAAUAACAUUUAUUUUAUCACAUGAAGUUAUGGAUCCAGGUGUCCUAAUGGAAAUUCGGGGGUGGGGAUGGGGAUUAAAUAAAUACCUUACUGUGUAGAAAAACUUCUGUUUGUUCCUAAAAAUCCUUCAUUUGAUAUUUGUGGGGUGAGGGUUUCAGAGUGGGAAUUAAGAAUUCUGAUUUUGCUAUGAUAUUGUAACCACUCUAUAAAUUUAUCCAGGGGAGGGGCAGACCCCUAGCCUCUCUCACCUCCCAACUGUGGUUCAUAAGGACUUUGUUUUAUGAACAUUCAAAGCACAAUAUGUUGUACCUGGGAGGAGAAACAUCUAGUGUUUUCCUAUGUAUCAAUACUUGAAAUAGACAAAUUACCUACA